UGCAGAGCAAUUUAUUAUUGAGUACUGUGGAGAAGUGAUAUCAUGGAAAGAAGCAAAGCAAAGAUCUCAAGCUUAUGAAAUUCAAGAUCUCAGGGAUGCAUUUAUUAUUUCUCUCAAUGCAUCAGAAUGGACCUCUUCAUCCAGUAACUCGCCUUCAGUUUGGGUUGGUUUGUUAUUGUAGGGCUCAGAUUCAUCUAUAUACCUUCCACAAGGAGAUAAAAUGAAAUGAGAAUAUCAGCAGCAGAGAGGGGGAAAAGUUCUAUUUUACUGUUUUGAUGUGCAGAAUGUUGUGUUGAAUCUGAUGGGGCUGCUGUUUGGAAGGAU